GACGAACGCUGGCGGCGUGCUUAACACAUGCAAGUCGAACGGAAAGGCCCUGCUUUUGUGGGGUGCUCGAGUGGCGAACGGGUGAGUAAAAUGUGAGUAUCCUGCCCUUUACAUUGGGAUAACUUCCGGGAACAGGGGCUCUUACCGGAUAGGAGCUCCUGCUGCAUGGGGGGGGUUGGAGAGAUUCGGUGGUUGGGGAUGGACUCGCGGCUUAUCAGCUUGUUGGUGGGGUAGUGGCUUACCAAGGCGUUGACGGGUAGCCGGCCUGAGAGGGUGACCGGCCACAUUGGGACUGAGAUACGGCCCAGACUCCUACGGGAGGCAGCAGUGGGGAAUAUUGCACAAUGGGCGGAAGCCUGAUGCAGCGACGCCGCGUGCGGGAUGACGGCCUUCGGGUUGUAAACCGCUUUCGGCUGGGAAGAAGCGAGAGUGACGGUAAUUGGUAAAGAAGCACCGGCUAACUACGUG
rnacentral:rRNA from 1 species